GACGAACGCUGGCGGCGUGCUUAACACAUGCAAGUCGAACGGGGCUUGCCCUUUGGGGUGGGUUUAGUGGCGAACGGGUGAGUAACACGUGGGUAAUCUGCCCUCAGCUCUGGGAUAACUCCGGGAAACCGGGGCUAAUACUGGAUAUGACUACUGGUGACAUCGCCUGGUGGUGGAAAGAUUUUUUGGUCGUGAGGAGUGGGCCCGGCCGGCC
rnacentral:rRNA from 1 species